AGUCCUCACGGUUCCCCAACAACAACUUGGACACCUCCAGACUGGUGAAGGCCUCCAAUGCCCUCAACGCCCUUGUCAAAGAGUGAGGGCUCUAUGGGGGAGAGGAGGACAGCCCUUGAAUGGACCACAUCAGUUGGAUGAGGAUCGCUGUUUAGGGGAGCAAUGUGGAAGCCACUCGGUGAAGCCAGUGCAUGGACUCAUGACGCAUCUCAUCAUUUUCUGAAUCCAGAGUGUCCUCAUUUCAACUGGAAUACUAAACAUAAUGACUAUGGUGGAGGCCGUGAGUUGUCUCUAAAUAUCCAUCUUUCUCUUUCCACAUUAAUAGAACCCUCCCCCCUCCCUAUUUUUAGUCUGCCCGUGGCAAUCUGGAAUAAAGGCCAUUUCCCAA